AGUGAACGCUGGCGGCGUGCCUAAUACAUGCAAGUCGAACGGAGUGGAGCACGGGUGAGUAAUGUAUAGCUAAUCAGCUCUACACUAGAGGACAACAGCUGGAAACAACUGUUAAUACUAUAUAGUGUAGGACGAGGCUAUAUUGUAUCAGCUAGUUGGUGAGGAAAUGGCUCACCAAGGCGAUGACGCAUAACUGGUCUGAGAGGAUGCUCAGUCACCCUCGAACUGAGACACGGGCCGGACACCUACGGGAGUCAGCGGUAGCGAAUUUCGCUCAUUGCGCGUGACCCUGGAGCAGCAUCGCCUCGUGAAGCAUGUCACUUUUCGAAGCAUAUACUCCUUUUGUUAGGGAAGCGGUACCUACCGAAUAAGCACCGGCUAACUCCGUGCCAGCAGCCGCGGUAAUUC
rnacentral:rRNA from 1 species